AACGAACGCUGGCGGCAUGCCUAACACAUGCAAGUCGAACGAGACCUUCGGGUCUAGUGGCGCACGGGUGCGUAACGCGUGGGAACCUGCCCUUAGGUUCGGAAUAACUCCCCGAAAGGGGUGCUAAUACCGGAUAAUGUCUUCGGACCAAAGAUUUAUCGCCUUUGGAUGGGCCCGCGUUGGAUUAGCUAGUUGGUAGGGUAAACGCCUACCAAGGCGACGAUCCAUAGCUGGUCUGAGAGGAUGAUCCGCCACACUGGGACUGAGACACGGCCCAGACUCCUACGGGAGGAAGCAGCGGGGAAUAUUGGAGCAAGAGAGAAAAGGUGAGCCAGCAAUGCCGGGUGAGGGAUGAAGGCCUUAGGGUUGUAAAGAUUGAUUACCCGGGAUGAUAAUGACAGGACCGGGAGAAUAAGCACCGGCUAACUCCGUG
rnacentral:rRNA from 1 species